rnacentral:lncRNA from 1 species
CUCUUUCUAGGCUUAAUGUUUCUAAAGCCUCAUGCGGUGCUACUGUAUUAAAAAGUCAAGCUAAUAAUGUUGUCACUAGGGAGGACAGUGAAUAUGAAUUUGGGUUAGCAAUUGCUAAGCAGAUCUCUUUGUGAACUUGAGUGGGCAACAUCCCAUCCAGGGUACAAGUCCCAGUGCAGUAGACACACAUGACAUCGAAAUCAACUUGCUGAGCUCAGUCAAAAGUUUCCAGGGCUUGGAACAAGUUCAAAGAAGAAGAGGAAGGUCUUUUCUUCACAAGAACUGCUGUGAGAAGUUUGCAUCAAUUAACAGACAUUUAAAGUGGAAGCUGUCUAUUUUGGGCAUGUUAAUGGAUGGUUUGCAGUUCAUUACCUUGCUGGGAAUCUCUCCUCUGUCCUUUCCAAGAGGCAAAUCCAACUCUUUUCUGGUAGAUAUCUAUAACACAUCCCACUAGAUUUAGGCAACUUUUGGCCCUGUACCAUUAUCUAUCUCUGU